UUCUGAAGGCCAGAAUUCUAAAGUCAGUCCCACUGAGUCAAGGUGGGAGCAGGCUCAGUGCCUUCCCAGGCUCUGCGGGAGAAUCCGUUUCCUGGCCCUGGAGGCGGCCUGUACUCCUCAGCUUGUGCUGCCCUUCUCGAAUGACUCGAGUUUCCUGCUUUCAUCACUACACCUCCCACCACUCUCCAUCACCUGCUCUGCUCUUAUAAGGAUCCAG
rnacentral:sRNA from 1 species